rnacentral:rRNA from 1 species
CCUACGGGCGGCAGCAGUGAGGAAUAUUGGUCAAUGGACGAGAGUCUGAACCAGCCAAGUAGCGUGAAGGAUGACUGCCCUAUGGGUUGUAAACUUCUUUUAUAGGGGAAUAAAACGUGCCACGUGUGGGAUUUUGUAUGUACCAUAUGAAUAAGGAUCGACUAACUCCGUGCCAGCAGCCGCGGUAAUACGGAGGAUCCGAGCGUUAUCCGGAGUGAUUGGGUUUAAAGGGAGCGUAGGUUGAUUGUUAAGUCAGUUGUGAAGGUUUGCGGCUCAACCGUAAAAUUGCAGUUGACACUGGCAGUCUUGAGUACAGUAGCGGUGGGCGGCAUUCGUGGUGUAGCGGU